rnacentral:rRNA from 1 species
AACGAACGCUGGCGGCAUGCCUAACACAUGCAAGUCGAACGAGACCUUCGGGUCUAGUGGCGCACGGGUGCGUAACGCGUGGGAACCUGCCCUUAGGUUCGGAAUAACUCCCCGAAAGGGGUGCUAAUACCGGAUAAUGUCUUCGGACCAAAGAUUUAUCGCCUUUGGAUGGGCCCGGGUUGGUUUAGCUAGUUGGUAGGGUAAAAGCCUACCAAGGCGACGAUCCAUAGCUGGUCUGAGAGGAUGAUCAGCCACACUGGGACUGAGACACGGCCCAGACUCCUACGGGAGGCAGCAGUGGGGAAUAUUGGACAAUGGGCGAAAGCCUGAUCCAGCAAUGCCGCGUGAGUGAUGAAGGCCUUAGGGUUGUAAAGCUCUUUUACCCGGGAUGAUAAUGACAGUACCGGGAGAAUAAGCUCCGGCUAACUCCGUG